rnacentral:rRNA from 1 species
UACGUAGGGGGGCGAGCGUUGUCCGGAUUCAUUGGGCGUAAAGAGCUCGUAGGCGGCUUGGCAAGUCGGGUGUGAAAACUCCAGCUCAACCUGGAGACGCCACCCGAUACUGCCAUGCUUGAGUCCGGUAGGGGACCACGGAAUUCCUGGUGUAGCGGUGAAAUGACGCAGAUAUCAGGAGGAACACCGGUGGCGAAGGCGGUGGUCUGGGCCGGUACUGACGCUGAGGGAGCGAAAAGCGUGGGGGAGCGAACAGG